UCCCCUUUUUAUAGAGUCGUUGCAAGGAUCAAGUGAGUUGAAAUCCGUAAGGUGCUUGGGAGAAUGCCUGGCGCCUGGAAGCACUGUGGUUGUAGGUUCUAAGGCUGGCCUCCACGGGGUGGUUCCACCCUCUUCUCUUGCUGUGUCUUUAAUGAGAUGUAUCAGAUAUUCCAAAAAAGGAGAUAUAAACAUGACCAUAAAAGACAUGAAAAGAUGUUUAACCCCAUUAGUCAUCGUGGAAAUGCAAAUGAAAACCACCAUACAGACACUAGAGUGGUUUAAAUUUGAAUGACUUCCAACACCAAAUGCCAGACAGGACAUAGAGCAACUGGAUGUCUCAUGCUCACAGGCAGAAGGGAAAACUACUGUGUGUGACAGGAAGAUGGACUUACCCAACCUUCAGCAUUCUCAAUCUCUUGUCUAUUAACAUGUGUUUGAAACAUUAUGCAUUCAAAGCAAACAUCUGGGAGGAAGAUGGGAGAAGCCUUCUUGCCCCUGUUCUACAGAAGUAAUUGAAGUUCAUGACAUUCAAGCUCAUUCACCAGUAAAUGAAUUUGGGUCAUGCUUUAUGUCUGUUGUAAAUACAGUGAAAAUUUG
rnacentral:lncRNA from 1 species